CAAAUUUUCGUUGUGGGAUUUUGAUAUUAUUUUUGUUAAAAUAAUCGCAUUCGUAAUUUCUAAAAUCUCCGAAAACAAAGUGAAAGAGAUUAAUACGUUAAAAAUCCGUGUAAAUUUCUUCUUGAAUUUGUUGCUUUGUUUUAAAUUAAACAAUUUUUUAAAGUGAGCUUUGGUAUUUAACUCAUUUUCUGGUUUAACUGUUUAUUUUAGCUCCUAGUGAGCCAUUAAAGUUUAGAAACAUUACUUAUGAGCCAUACAAAGUGAAAUUACAAUGGCAGAAACCUACCGAUCCCAACGGACCCAUCAAUGGUUAUACGGUAAUACGCAGAACGAACACUGAAGUUGAACAUCUUAACACAAGUAACACUUCUCUGACAGUCGAGAAUUUACGUUCUUGGACAUUAUAUGAAUUCAGUUUAUCUGCAUUUAACACGUGGAAUGGAAGUCUCUUAAGGAGUCCAGAGAAAAAAAUUGAAGUUAAGACCAAACAUCCAGUGCCUGUAUCUCCAACAAAUGUUAGUUGUCACAACUCCAGCAGUACUUCUAUUACUAUCAAAUGGGGGGAACCAUCUCCAUACGUGGGAAAUAUUAUAAAUUACACAGUUAACUACUGUAAACUUACACAGAAUUCAGCAAACAAGAAUGAAAAGAAUGAAAAUACAGAGACGAAAAACCUGACUUUAAACGAUUUAGAGCCGUAUACAAAGUACGAAUUUAAGGUUUCCGCGUGGACAAGUAAAGGCCAAGGCAAAUGGAGCACAUUAAUUAUUUGUCAGACGAGUUCUUCUC